AAGAACUUUGCAACUCAAAAAACAAACAUUUGGACUGAAGAAUUGCUUUAACAACAAAAUUCCAGUUUCCAGCCAUUCCACCUGUAAACAGCCAUAUUUUGAAACUAUUUAAAAUGAUUUGCAGUUGUAACCGUCACUAUUUAUCUGAUUAUUCAUUCUUUAAUCAUCGUACAGUACAUAUGCGCAUUUUCAUAUUUGACACGUAUGAUGAUGUCACAGCUUUGAUGACAUUGGAUGCUUCUGUUCAAGAUACAUGUGUUGGUCUUGUGCUUGACACAAACCACGUGUGUUUCUGAUUAGCAGUGCUGCAACCCUUAACUACUUCCCUCUUACAUCUAUAACUAGCGGAAAGACUUGUGCCAUCCCUACUGUGCCAUUGCAUUGAUCAGUUUCCAUUUAUUUACUUUUUUGUUGGCGGACGGAUGGAUAACGGGUGGGGGCGGAGCAUAAAUGUCCAUUAUUUGUGUGUUGUCAUUCAAGCUCCCUUCAUCCGCCUCCAACCAUGAAAUUCACCCACAUAAAGCCUGAGCUUAACGCCAUCAAGGCUCUCCUGCCAGAAAAAGGGGCUUGAAUGGGAAGUUGAUCUGUUAUGGUGCAUUUUAACUGGUCCUGAAUGUACAUUCAGAUGUCGAAUGUACUGUAAGAGGAACCCUUCAAACAGAGACAUGGAGCAGGAUCAGUGAAACUUACCCGCAUUAAAAGAUGCCCAGACUGUCCCGAAUGUAUGUAGGCCUACGCAAUCUACCGUCCAUUAUGAGAUUCGCCACCGGAUUUUCUACCCUUUGUGGAAGUUUCUAAGCACGUCACCGGCUGCCCUGCCAGAUAUAUCAUGCCUUGUAAAUCCUAGAUCUGCACUAGAAGCUGAAAAUGUUCCCUCACGGCUUUCGAGACGGGAUUGAUGACCAGAGAUUGAUGAGUGCAGCUCACAGGACACGGACCUCAUGAUGAAGCUGCGCUCGAGAUGAUAUAUACAGAGAGAUAGAUUCAGAGAUAACCUUUCCCUUUCGCCCUCACCAUCAUGUACAAUCUCCCUCCAGAUCAUUCCUCUAGCACCUCGUACGGGGCACAGAUUAUAUAUCGGAAGUGUAGUAACUUACAUAUAUUGUAUACAUGUAUGUGUGUUUUGAGCGUGUGCGUGAGUGCGCGUAACAUUUGGGAUGUGUAUGUGACGUCUGUCUUCUAAAUGUGCUAUUUUAAUCACCACUGAUAACUCAGAUGGAUACAGAAGUCUGUAAUGCUUUUCAGUAACCCUUGGCCCCGCCCCCUUCUCACUGAAGUAUGUACUUGAAAACUACUUGGAUGCGCGCGAAAUCUAACAGAUACAGCACUGGGCGUCUGUAAUACAGUCACAGGCCCUCGCUUAUUCACCGAGUGGUAAUGAGUCAAAGGACCAAAGUUUUCGGACAGUUCGUUUCAGUGAAGAACAUCUCACUUCAUCUUCACAUACUCUUGAGCCUUGGCCCCCUGUGGACUGACUGUUAGACUCAGCGAUUCCCCUGUUAGCGAUAGUUUCUGCGUCGAGGCCGCGCUCUCGAUCUUUCAUGACGGUUAGCCCUCCUCACUUGCUGUCACUGCUUUUGUCCAUGUACUGUUCAGUACUGCUCUUUUUCUGCUAGCAAUAAUGAACCUACGCAAGCCAUGAGUGAAGAGAGCUCUUCAAAGGGUUCGUCUUCUCUAAAGCAAAGCUGAGGAAGGGUUUCCAGACAACUUAGAGGGGAAAAAACAAACGUAUCUUUAAAAAGAAACCUAUGUUACUGAUGGUCAUCACUGUAUUCUAUUAAACCUGUGUUGAUGAGAAACCACUACUGUACUCUCUGAGCUUUUGUUUUUUAAUGGGAUGCAUGAUCGUUUUCAUGGACUGGUCAGUGUUUGAUAGGAGUUUCAACUCCGUGCAACAACAACCACAGCAAAUAUUUUUAUCUCA
ensembl:lncRNA